rnacentral:rRNA from 1 species
AAUACAUGCAAGUCGAGCGGACCGACGGGAGCUUGCUCCCUUAGGUCAGCGGCGGACGGGUGAGUAACACGUGGGUAACCUGCCUGUAAGACUGGGAUAACUCCGGGAAACCGGGGCUAAUACCGGAUGCUUGAUUGAACCGCAUGGUUCAAUCAUAAAAGGUGGCUUUUAGCUACCACUUACAGAUGGACCCGCGGCGCAUUAGCUAGUUGGUGGGGUAACGGCUCACCAAGGCGACGAUGCGUAGCCGACCUGAGAGGGUGAUCGGCCACACUGGGACUGAGACACGGCCCAGACUCCUACGGGAGGCAGCAGUAGGGAAUCUUCCGCAAUGGACGAAAGUCUGACGGAGCAACGCCGCGUGAGUGAUGAAGGUUUUCGGAUCGUAAAACUCUGUUGUUAGGGAAGAACAAGUACCGUUCGAAUAGGGCGGCACCUUGACGGUACCUAACCAGAAAGCCACGGCUAACUACGUGCCAGCAGCCGCGGUAAUACGUAGGUGGCAAGCGUUGUCCGGAAUUAUUGGGCGUAAAGCGCGCGCAGGCGGUUUCUUAAGUCUGAUGUGAAAGCCCCCGGCUCAACCGGGGAGGGUCAUUGGAAACUGGGGAACUUGAGUGCAGAAGAGGAGAGUGGAAUUCCACGUGUAGCGGUGAAAUGCGUAGAGAUGUGGAGGAACACCAGUGGCGAAGGCGACUCUCUGGUCUGUAACUGACGCUGAGGCGCGAAAGCGUGGGGAGCGAACAGG